rnacentral:rRNA from 1 species
GACGAACGCUGGCGGCGUGCUUAACACAUGCAAGUCGAACGGAAAGGCCCUGCUUUUGUGGGGUGCUCGAGUGGCGAACGGGUGAGUAACACGUGAGUAACCUGCCCUUGACUUUGGGAUAACUUCAGGAAACUGGGGCUAAUACCGGAUAGGAGCUCCUGCUGCAUGGUGGGGGUUGGAAAGUUUCGGCGGUAGGGGAUGGACUCGCGGCUUAUCAGCUUGUUGGUGGGGUAGUGGCUUACAAAGGCUUUGACGGGUAGCCGGCCUGAGAGGGUGACCGGCCACAUUGGGACUGAGAUACGGCGCAGACUCCUACGGGAGGCAGCGGUGGGGAAUAUUGCAGAAUGGGCGGAAGCCUGAUGCAGCAACGCCGCGUGCGGGAUGACGGCCUACGGGUUGUAAACCGCUUUCGACUGUGACGAAGCGGGAGUGACGGUAAUGGGUAAAGAAGCACCGGCUAACUACGUG